rnacentral:rRNA from 1 species
CUGCAUGGCUGUCGUCAGCUCGUGUCGUGAGAUGUUGGGUUAAGUCCGCACGAGCGCAACCCUCGUCUCCAGUUGCCAUCAGGUUAGGCUGGGCACUUUGGAGAAACUGCCGGUGACAAGCCGGAGGAAGGUGGGGAUGACGUCAAAUCAUCAUGCCCCUUAUGUUCUGGGCUACACACGUGCUACAAUGGCCGGUACAGACGGAGGCGAAGCCGCGAGGCGGAGCAAAUCCGAAAAAGCCGGUCUCAGUUCGGAUUGCAGGCUGCAAUUCGCCUGCAUGAAGUCGGAAUCGCUAGUAAUCGCAGGUCAGCAUACUGCGGUGAAUACCGGUUCCCGGGCCUU